rnacentral:piRNA from 1 species
UGAUGUUUGGAGGGAAUGCAAAAG